AUACGGAGGGUGCGAGCGUUAUUCGGAAUCACUGGGCGUAAAGGGUGCGUAGGCGGUUUGAUAAGUCUGAUGUGAAAUCCUAUGGCUCAACCAUAGAACUGCAUUGGAAACUGUCAGACUAGAAUACUGAAGGGGCAGAUGGAAUUAGUGGUGUAGGGGUAAAAUCCGUAGAUAUCACUAGGAAUACCGAAAGCGAAAGCGAUCUGCUGGGAAGUUAUUGACGCUGAGGCACGAAAGCGUGGGGAGCAAACGGGAUUAGAAACCCCAGUAGUCC
rnacentral:rRNA from 1 species